rnacentral:misc_RNA from 1 species
GCUGAAGAACGUAGCAAAAUGCGAUAAGUAAUGUGAAUUGCAGAAUUCAGUGAAUCAUCGAAUCUUUGAACGCACAUUGCGCCCGCUGGUAUUCCGGCGGGCAUGCCUGUUCGAGCGUCAUUUCAACCCUCAAGCCCCCGGGUUUGGUGUUGGGGAUCGGCUCUGCCCUUCUGGGCGGUGCCGCCCCCGAAAUACAUUGGCGGUCUCGCUGCAGCCUCCAUUGCGUAGUAGCUAACACCUCGCAACUGGAACGCGGCGCGGCCAUGCCGUAAAACCCCAACUUCUGAAUGUUGACCUCGGAUCAGGUAGGAAUACCCGCUGAACUUAAGCAUAUCAAUAAGCGGAGGA